GUAGCUUUCAAUAUCCUUUCCAUCCACCAUCACUCUCCUCUCAUCUGCUUGUCUUUUCUCUCCUAAUUGGCCAGCGCUCUCCUCUGUGAUUUUGGGAGUUCUUAUGGUCUCAGUAUCAGCAACAAUUCUCCUUUCGCAUAAGCAAGUCACAGGUAGCAGAGAGGUUAGCAAUUCUCCUCUCUGAUUUUUGGGAGUUAUUUUCUUUUACUAGCCCUGAUGGAGGAAUCUUUUACUUUUAAAUCUAUGCUACUUAAUGGGUUUUAUUAAUUUCUUAGGUUUGUAAUUGAUGAUAUUGUAUUUUGGCAUUUACCUAAGUACAUUAGAUUUGUUCUCUUUUAUUUUUUUAGGCCUUUUUCUGUAAAUACAUCGAAUUUUGUUAUUUUUUUUAUGCGUUUGCUGUAAAUCUAUGCCUUGUGAUGCUUGAACCUUGAUGUUGAAUGUGAUAAAUGCGUCGUAAACCUUGCUAUUGCAUGCAUCUGUUUUCCUUCGGAAGAUACAGACUUUGUUCAUCGCUUUUGUUUCAUCCCUACAUAUUUACUCUUUGAACUAACUAUUUUUAAAUAACCUCCUCCUCCCUCUUCUUUUGUAUAUGUAUAAAACAGGACAGGAAAUGAAAUAUUAUCUGCUGUUCAAAUAUUGGCUUUUUUGGAAACACCAUUAUCUUGGAAGAUGAAGGUGUUGGUGUUCAUUCUAAUCAACUAUGCUAUAGCAAUGAUGAUUGAACACGGAGUCCAAACCCAUCGCAACUCAAAUUACAAAAUAUGUGUUAGAAAUAUUCGUCUCCAGUUGGGUUAUGCAGCAAUUGUGCUACUUGCUUUGAUUCAUGUUAUCAGCUAUGGUGUAUUACUUUUGAGUUUAUGCGUCUACUUUGUUAUACGAUUUGCACGCAAUCCAUAUCAAGACUUA
rnacentral:misc_RNA from 1 species